AAACGCCUCCUGACCCUGACGUGGCUGGGCGAGCUGCAGAAGUGCCGAGUCCGACCAGGGGCAGCCUCGCCCGCCGCUCAGCUCGGGAAUCCCCGCCCCCCACCAGCUCCUCAGUGGGGGGUACCGCAAGUUCAAGCACCAGCCUCACAGUAACAGCCGGCACACAGCCCUUAGGCUGCCUGGUGUUCCAGAAGCUUCUGCAGUGGCUAUGCGGGGACUACGCUGAGCUCAAGGCACCCAUAAGAGGAGGGCAUUUUGCUGUCCCCACUUUACCAAGAAGGAACUGGGGCUUGGGGUGGUUUAAGGCGUGAAUGAAUGAAGGAGCAAGCAGUAAACCCCGACAACAAGGCCACCACAGCCCUCACCCGACUGAGACGCCCGAGCAAGGACCCAAGCAGGGGACGAGCAGGCUUACCCCCCACUCGCCAGGCUGACCAUGAGGCCCCAUCCGGUGGAACGCGCCAUGACACUUCAGAAGGCUCAUGUAGCUGGGGCUGUAUCAGUCAGCAGGGGGGAGAGAAAAUGCACAGCCCAGGGAAUGUGGAGACAGGCCCAGCCCUGGGCACGGGGGCCGGAAGGAGCAACUGGGGAUCAGCGAGCAGGGCCUGGGGCGGCCUUGCAGAUCUGAACCUGCCCCAGCCCCAGGACUCUUAAGUGCAUCCAGAGGGGAGCCAGGCUGGAGAGUGGGGAGCACAGAGACUGUGGCCUGGAUGGUGCCAGAGCGAACGGGAGAAAGGCUCCCCCACGCAGAGGCUGCGGCACAGCCCAGAGGGUCCUGGGGUUGGCUGGGCGGGGGCAGCUCCCAGCGAGAGGCCCCUGGGAUUUGGGUAAGUGGAGGCACAUGCAGACUCUGGCCACAGGGCACCUCGCACACGAGGGGAGUUCACCACACAAUUUGAGUGGAGGGCGGGCGCAGGAGAGCAGCGGUGUCCCAGAAGCCAAGGGUGGUCAUGGAGCCCCACGCCACAGCGCUUCCUACAGGGCCACACCAUCCGGUCUCUGGAGGGGGCUGCAUUGCUGGGAGGGACCCACCUGAUCCUGGAUUCCAGCCUCACCCUGGGUCACCGCUGAGUGUCCCAAGUGGCCCCUUAUCCCCCAGGGCCGGGCGGCGUCCCAACCCCCUUGGGAUGUCUGUGCUCAGAGUGUGGCAGACACGCCCCGGCAGGGACAUCCUCCUCCCCUGCACCCGCCACAGCCGUGGGUUCAGGGUCUCUAUCGUGGUCAGAGAUUCACACAGUCAAGGUGAGGGUCCCAGGGGCACCUGUGACCAGGCCCUGGCUGCCACGGAGAGGGGGACCCUUAACCAGCGGGGCAGACAACCUGAGAUGGACCCUCGUCCAGGGGAGGGCCCCGCCACCCACAACUCCUUGGCAUUCCUGCACCAGCAGGACGGGCUGGAGGAGGUGGCCGCAGGGCGCCUCGCCGGUGUCAGUGCCCAGCAUCACUGUGCCCCGGUGGAGGGGGAGGCCGCUCCGAGCCUGGGCCUGGAUGUGAAUGAGGGCAGAUUUCCAUCUCUCUGACCUCAGCUUCCUCAACUGGGAAGGGGAGCCGCAGCACCUGCUUGGGGUGAUGAGGAAGGGGGAGGUCAGGGAGAGCCCUGGGCAGGGCUGCCUCCUCACCUUCCUUCAGCCUUUGGACAUGAGCGCAGAGGACCAAGUGAAUGAAUGAAUGACUCAGUCAAUCAACUGAUCCAUCAAUCCAUGGAUCUCUGGACAGUCGGACAGCUGGGCAGCGGGCAGGAUGGGGGACUCUCGCUGAAGCCGCAUUCAUAUGUGUUCAGCUUUAGGCCCACCACUGUGCCCGGACCAGCAGCCCACUCGGUGAGUCGAACGUGCACCUGGCACCCCUCUUUUUGGAAAUCCACGAACACUGGGCUCCCAGCAGAGACUGAGGCUGAGCAGGCCACUUCCCUGGAGCUGACUCCACAGCUGUCCUGCUCCUCUUUCACCUUCUGCCAUGACUGUAAGCUUCCUGAGGGCUGACCAGAAGCCCAGCAGAUGCCAGCACCAUGCUUCCUAUACAGCCUGCAGAACUGCAAGCCAACUAAACCUCUUCUCAUGAAUUACUCAGCUUCAGAUUUAUCUUUAUAGCAAUGCAAGACCUGACUAUUACAACACAUGCUCCCCAAAAUAAAAAGAAAUAUUCAAACAAAUAGGCACACAGGAGUCUUCCCAGUGGCACUAUUCACAGCAGACAAAAGGUGGCGGUAGCCACAGGCCUGUCAGCUGAUGAUAGAUAAAGAAAGCAUGGCCUGUCAUCCCAGCAUUUUAGGAGGCCGAGGCGGGCAGAUCACCUGAGGUCAGGAGUUCAAGACCAGCCUGGCCAACAUGGUGAAACCCCGUCUCCACUAAAAAUAUAAAACUUAGCCAGGUGUGGUGAUGAGUGCCUGUAGUACCAGCUACUCGGGAGGCUGAGGCAGGAGAAUUGCUUGAACCCAGGAGGCAGAGGUUGCAGUGAGCUGAGAUCAUGCCAUUGCACUGCAGCCUGGGUAACAGAGUGAGACUCUGUCUCUAAAUAAAUGAAUAAAUAAAUGAAGUGCGGCAUAUCCAUGCAGGGGAAUAGCAUUCAGCCCUAAAAAGGGAUGAUGUGGGGACACGGGCGGUAACAUGAAGUGCCUGAAAACCCUGCUCGGCGGGAGAAGCAGACUCAGAGACCGCCAGUUGCACAAUUCCGCUGAUAGGAGAUGCACAGAGCGGCAGCUCCAUGGAGACAGAAAGCAGAUUCCGCGGUGCGGGGGUGGGGAGAGGAAUAGGAGUGACUGCCUAAUGGGCUCCAGAGCUCCUCAGGGGGUGACAAAAGUGUCUGGGGAGUAGACAGAGGUGGUGGCUGCACAGUGUGGCAAAUGCACUAAAUGCCACUGAACCACACUCUUUAAAGUGGUCAUUUUAUGUCACGUGCAUUUCACCUGUUUUUUUUUAAAAAAAAAAAAAAAAAACCCGUUCAGAGUCCAGCCCCAACCCUCUCUCAGUGACCUCUGCCCUGGGACACAGGGCCACCCAGACCGUGAGCUUGGGUCCCCUCAGGCUGCCCACUGAGGAGGGGCAGCUACUGCUGAGGUCUGACCUUGCCUCUCCUGAUGCCCCAGCCACACUUGGGAGAGAGGAAGGGUGGGGGGUGGCUGCCCUUCUGGCCAAAGACACCGUCCCAGGGCCAGUCACAGGUUUGCCAGGAAGGGCCGUAAGAGACCUCAGCAUUAGCACUGCCCAAGCCCGUCUGCUGCUGGCAUAUUCCCUGUGUGGGGACAGAGUAAUGCCCACUACCCCUAAGGAUGUCCAAGAAUCCGUGGCCAUGCCACCUUAUGUGGCAGCAGGGACUCUGCAGGAGGGACGGAGCCGGAUGCUGUGUGUGGGCCCAGUGUCCUCACAGGGUCCUUAUGAGAGGGGGUGGGAGGGUCAGAGUCAGGGGGAGCCUGGAAGACACAGCACAGCUGGAUUUAAGGUGGAGGAGGGGCCACGGGUGAAGGGGCGCAGCAGCCUCCAGGUCCCGGAGGGAGCAGUACCCGAAUUCUCCCCAGGGCCUCCAGCAGCCAGCCCUGCCAACACCUGGACUUUAGAUUUCUUUCCCUUUCGGAGCUGCAAGACAAUAAACUGUGGCUUUUGUUACAGCAGCCA